GCUUUGGCGGCUCCGGCCGCCAAAGGACCUUCAAACUCCAGUCAGUAAACGCAGACGUCUGAUAAACAAGUUAAUAAACUAAAACUUUCAACAACGGAUCUCUUGGUUCUGGCAUCGAUGAAGAACGCAGCGAAAUGCGAUAAGUAAUGUGAAUUGCAGAAUUCAGUGAAUCAUCGAAUCUUUGAACGCACAUUGCGCCCCUUGGUAUUCCGGGGGGCAUGCCUGUUCGAGCGUCAUUACAACCCUCAAGCUCUGCUUGGAAUUGGGCACCGUCCUCACUGCGGACGCGCCUCAAAGACCUCGGCGGUGGCUGUUCAGCCCUCAAGCGUAGUAGAAUACACCUCGCUUUGGAGCGGUUGGCGUCGCCCGCCGGACGAACCUUCUGAACUUUUCUCAAGGUUGACCUCGGAUCAGGUAGGGAUACCCGCUGAACUUAAGCAUAUCAAUAAGCGGAGGAAAAGAAACCAACAGGGAUUGCCUUAGUAACGGCGAGUGAAGCGGCAACAGCUCAAAUUUGAAAGCUGGCCCUUUUAGGGUCCGCAUUGUAAUUUGUAGAGGAUGAUUCGGCGAGGGCUCCUGCCUAAGUCCCCUGGAACGGGGCGUCAUAGAGGGUGAGAAUCCCGUAUGCGGUAGGUUGCCUUAGCCAUGUGAAUCUCCUUCGACGAGUCGAGUUGUUUGGGAAUGCAGCUCUAAAUGGGAGGUAAAUUUCUUCUAAAGCUAAAUACCGGCCAGAGACCGAUAGCGCACAAGUAGAGUGAUCGAAAGAUGAAAAGCACUUUGGAAAGAGAGUUAAAAAGUACGUGAAAUUGUUGAAAGGGAAGCGCUUGCAACCAGACUUGUCCGCAGUUGCUCAGCCGGUCUCCUGACCGGCGUACUCUUCUGCGGCCAGGC
rnacentral:rRNA from 1 species